rnacentral:rRNA from 1 species
GUCAGCUCGUGUCGUGAGAUGUUGGGUUAAGUCCCGCAACGAGCGCAACCCUUGCCAUUAGUUGCUACGAAAGGGCACUCUAAUGGGACUGCCGGUGACAAACCGGAGGAAGGUGGGGAUGACGUCAAGUCCUCAUGGCCCUUAUAGGUGGGGCUACACACGUCAUACAAUGGCUGGUACAAAGGGUUGCCAACCCGCGAGGGGGAGCUAAUCCCAUAAAGCCAGACGUAGUCCGGAUCGCAGUCUGCAACUCGACUGCGUGAAGUCGGAAUCGCUAGUAAUCGUGGAUCAGAAUGUCACGGUGAAUACGUUCCCGGGUCUUGUACACACCGCCCGUCACACCAUGGGAGCGGGUCUCGCCAGAAGUAGGUAGCCUAACCGCAAGGAGGGCGCUUACCACG